CCCCCAAAAGCCGUCUCAGUUCGGAUCGCAGGCUGCAACCCGCCUGCGUGAAGUCGGAAUCGCUAGUAAUCGCGGAUCAGCAUGCCGCGGUGAAUACGUUCCCGGGCCUUGUACACACCGCCCGUCACACCAUGAGAGCCGGUAACACCCGAAGUCAGUAGCCUAACCGCAAGGGGGGAGCUGCCGAAGGUGGAGCCGGUAACUGGGGUGAAGUCGUAACAAGGUACC
rnacentral:rRNA from 1 species